rnacentral:pre_miRNA from 1 species
AAACAGCCCCUUAUGUUUUGAUUCUUUGGCAGUUUUGGACCCCCAAGGCAAAAAAUAAAUAAAAAAUUUGACACAUGACACCUCACUUAGGGUGCCACGUCAGCGUUGACCGAGUCAACAAUGGACUGGGGGUCCAAAACUGUCAAAGAAUCAAAACAUAGGGGGCUGUUU